UCAUUACCUUUGCGAGCAAGAUCGUGCCCUUCGUUACGAGCUUGUACACAGGCUUGUAGAGCCACUCGAUUAGCUGCUGCACCAGGUGCAUUUACCCAAGGAUGUCCUAAAAUUCCUCUACCAAAUUGUACCCCAAAGGUUUUGGUCAUAGCUGGCAUAUGCCAAACAUGA
rnacentral:rRNA from 1 species